rnacentral:rRNA from 1 species
AUUGAACGCUGGCGGCAUGCCUUACACAUGCAAGUCGAGCGGCAGCGCGGGCUUCGGCCUGGCGGGGAGUGGCGAACGGGUGGGUAAUGCAUAGGAGCGUGCCCUGUCGUGGGGGAUGGGACGGCGAAAGCCGAAUUGAUCUAGCAUACGACGAGAGGGUGAAACGGAGGGCUCGAAAGGGCAUGAGCUCUUGGCGGGGCCGAUGUCGGAUUAGCUAGUUGGUAGGGUAAAGGCUUACCAAGGCGACGAUCCGUAGCUGGUCUGAGAGGACGACCAGUCACACUGGAACUGAGACACGGCCCAGACUCCUACGGGAGGCAGCAGUGGGGAAUAUUGGACAAUGGGCGCAAGCCUGAUCCAGCCAUGCCGCGUGCGUGAAGAAGGCCUUCGGGUUGUAAACCGCUUUUGUUCGGGAAGAAGGCCUGUGGCCUAAUACGUCGGGGGAUUGACGGUACCGGAAGAAUAAGCACCGGCUAACUACGUG